UACGUAGGGUGCAAGCGUUGUCCGGAUUUACUGGGCGUAAAGAGCGCGCAGGCGGUCGUUCAAGUCGAGUGUGAAAGCCCCCGGCUCAACUGGGGAGGGUCACUCGAUACUGAUCGACUCGAAGGCAGGAGAGGGAAGUGGAAUUCCCGGUGUAGUGGUGAAAUGCGUAGAUAUCGGGAGGAACACCAGUGGCGAAGGCGACUUCCUGGCCUGUUCUUGACGCUGAGGCGCGAAAGCUAGGGGAGCAAACGGG
rnacentral:rRNA from 1 species